rfam:Leisingera methylohalidivorans DSM 14336 strain MB2, DSM 14336, complete genome.
UGGGGUGUAGCCAAGUGGUAAGGCAGCAGUUUUUGGUACUGUGUAUCGUAGGUUCGAAUCCUACCACCCCAG